rnacentral:rRNA from 1 species
AGUGAACGCUGGCGGCAGGCCUAACACAUGCAAGUCGAACGGCAGCACAGUAAGAGCUUGCUCUUACGGGUGGCGCGUGGCGGACGGGUGAGGAAUACAUCGGAAUCUACUUUUUCGCGGGGGAUAACGUAGGGAAUCUUACGCUAAUACCGCAUACGACCUACGGGUGAAAGCAGGGGAUCUUCGGACCUUGCGCGAUUGAAUGAGCCGAUGUCGGAUUAGCUAGUUGGCGGGGUAAAGGCCCUCCAAGGCGACGAUCCGUAGCUGGUCUGAGAGGAAGAUCAGCCACACUGGAACUGAGACACGGUCCAGACUCCUACAGUGAGCAGCAGUGGGGAAUAUUGGACAAAGGGCGCGAGCCUGAUCCAGCCAUACCGCGUGAGUGAAGAAGGCCUUCUGGUUGUAAAGCCCUUUAGUUGGGAAAGAAAAGCAGCACGUUAAUACCCCGCUGUUCUGACGGUACCCAAAGAAUAAGCACCGGCUAACUUCGUG